rnacentral:rRNA from 1 species
CGUGCCUAACGCAUGCAAGUCGAACGAGAAAGUGGGAGCAAUCCCAUGAGUACAGUGGCGAACGGGUGAGUAACACGUGACUAACCUACCUUCCAGUGGGGGAUAACCUCGGGAAACCGGGGCUAAGACCGCAUAAACUCGCGAGGUGAGAAUCCUUGAGAGCAAAGGGGUAAUACGCUGGCUCAGGGGGUCGCGGCUGAUUACCUUGUUGGCGGGGUAACGGCCCACCAAGGCGAUCAUCGGUAGUCGGCCUGAGAGGGUGCACGGCCACACUGGAACUGAAACACGGUCCAGACUCCUACGGGAGGCAGCAGUGGGGAAUUUUGCACAAUGGGGGAAACCCUGAUGUAGUAACUCCGCGUGGAGGAUGAAGUCCCUUGGGACGUAAACUCCUUUCGACCGGGACGAUAAUGACUGUACCGGUGGAAGAAGCCCCGGCUAACUACGUGCCAACAUCCGCGGUAAUACCGGGGGGGCAAGCGUUGAUCUGAAUUAUUGGGCGUAAAGGGCGCAUAGGCGGUGCGGUAAGUCUUCUGUGAAACCCCUGGGCUCAACCCAGGGCCUGCAGGGGAAUCCCCCCUGCUGGAGUGCGGGAGAGGUGCGUGGAAUUCCCGGUGUAGCGGUGAAAUGCGUAUAUAUCGGGAGGAACACUUGCGGCGAAGUCGGCGCAUUGGACCACUACUGACGAUGAGAGCGCGAAAGCUAGGGGUGCAAACAGGAUUUAGAUACCCUGGUAGUCCUAGCCUUAAACGAUGAAUGCUUGGUGUGACGGGUACCCAAUCCCGCCGUGCCGGAGCUAACUCGAUAAGCAUUCCGCCU